rnacentral:rRNA from 1 species
ACUAAAACUAGCCCAAACGACGCUUAACUCAACUACAAUAAGCCAACCUAAACAAAACAUUUACCCUUAAAAUCAUUAAAGUAUAGGAGAUAGAAAUUUUAACUGGCGCUAUAGAGAACAGUACCGCAAGGGAACGAUGAAAGAAGUAUUAAAAGUACUAAACAGCAAAGCUUACCCCUUUUACCUUUUGCAUAAUGAUUUAACUAGAAAAACCUUAGCAAAGAGAACUUAAGCUAAGCACCCCGAAACCAGACGAGCUACCUAUGAACAGUCCAAAAAGGAACAAACUCAUCUAUGUUGCAAAAUAGUGAGAAGAUUCUCAGGUAGAGGUGAAAAGCCUAACGAGCCUGGUGAUAGCUGGUUAUCCAGAACAGAAUUUAAGUUCAAAUUUAAAUUUACCUAAAACCCCAACAAUUCUAAUGUAAAUUUAAAUUAUAGUCUAAAAAGGUACAGCUCUUUAGACACAGGAUACAACCUUCCUUAGUGAGUAAGAACAAGAUAUAUUCAUAGUUGGCUUAAAAGCAGCCACCAAUUAAGAAAGCGUUAAAGCUCAACAGUAUAAUUAUCUUAAUACCAACAAUCAAAUAACCAACUCCUAAUUCAAUACUGGAUUAAUCCAUCGACCAAUGGAAGCAAUAAUGUUAAUAUGAGUAACAAGAAAUAUUUCUCCUCGCAUAAGCUUAUAUCAGAACGAAUAAAUCACUGAUAGUUAACAACAAGAUAAGCACAAUCAACAACUUAAACCACUUAUCAAUUAAACUGUUAACCCAACACAGGCAUGCGACUUUAAAGGAAAGAUUAAAAAAAGUAAAAGGAACUCGGCAAACACAAACCCCGCCUGUUUACCAAAAACAUCACCUCUAGCAUUACCAAUAUUAGAGGCACUGCCUGCCCAGUGACAUUAGUUUCAACGGCCGCGGUAUCCUAACCGUGCAAAGGUAGCAUAAUCACUUGUUCUCUAAAUAAGGACUUGUAUGAAUGGCCACACGAGGGUUUUACUGUCUCUUACUUUUAAUCAGUGAAAUUGACCUUCCCGUGAAGAGGCGGGAAUAACAUAACAAGACGAGAAGACCCUAUGGAGCUUCAAUUAACUAAUUCACAAAGAACAAAACCACAAACCUACCCCCAAGGGAUAACAAAACUUUUACUGAAUUAGCAAUUUCGGUUGGGGUGACCUCGGAGAACAAAACAACCUCCGAGCGAUUAUAAAUCUAGACUAACUAGUCAAAAUAUCACUAUCGCUUAUUGAUCCAAAUUAUUGAUCAACGGAACAAGUUACCCUAGGGAUAACAGCGCAAUCCUAUUUUAGAGUCCAUAUCGACAAUAGGGUUUACGACCUCGAUGUUGGAUCAGGACACCCCAAUAGUGCAACCGCUAUUAACGGUUCGUUUGUUCAACGAUUAAAGUCCUACGUGAUCUGAGUUCAGACCGGAGCAAUCCAGGUCGGUUUCUAUCUGUUUUACAUUUCUCCCAGUACGAAAGGACAAGAGAAAUAAGGCCCACUUCACAAAAGUGCCUUCAGAAUAAUAGAUGAUAUAAUCUCAACCUAGUAGACCUAUACAUAAUAUCAACCCUAGACCAGGGCCAC